rnacentral:rRNA from 1 species
AUUGAACGCUGGCGGCAUGAUUACACAUGCAAGUCGAACGGUAACAGGCCGCAAGGUGCUGACGAGUGGCGAACGGGUGAGUAAUGCAUCGGAACGUGCCCAGUCGUGGGGGAUAACUACUCGAAAGAGUAGCUAAUACCGCAUACGAUCUAUGGAUGAAAGCGGGGGACCGUAAGGCCUCGCGCGAUUGGAGCGGCCGAUGUCAGAUUAGGUAGUUGGUGGGGUAAAGGCUCACCAAGCCAACGAUCUGUAGCUGGUCUGAGAGGACGACCAGCCACACUGGGACUGAGACACGGCCCAGACUCCUACGGGAGGCAGCAGUGGGGAAUUUUGGACAAUGGGCGCAAGCCUGAUCCAGCAAUGCCGCGUGCAGGAAGAAGGCCUUCGGGUUGUAAACUGCUUUUGUACGGAACGAAACGGCUCUGGUUAAUACCCGGGGCUAAUGACGGUACCGUAAGAAUAAGCACCGGCUAACUACGUG